rnacentral:rRNA from 1 species
GACGGGGCCCGCACAAGCGGUGGAGUAUGUGGUUAAUUCGAUGCAACGCGAAGAACCUUACCUGGUCUUGACAUCCCGGAGACCCUUAGGAAACUAGGGGGUGCUUCCAUCUGGAAGAAUCUGGAGACAGGUGCUGCAUGGCUGUCGUCAGCUCGUGUCGUGAGAUGUUGGGUUAAGUCCCGCAACGAGCGCAACCCUUGCCUUUAGUUGCCAGCAGUUCGGCUGGGCACUCUAAAGGGACUGCCGGUGUUAAACCGGAGGAAAGUGGGGAUGACGUCAAGUCCUCAUGGCCUUUAUGACCAGGGCUACACACGUACUACAAUGGCCGAUACAAAGGGCAGCGACACUGCGAGGUGAAGCCAAUCCCGUAAAAUCGGUCUCAGUCCGGAUUGGAGUCUGCAACUCGACUCCAUGAAGUUGGAAUUGCUAGUAAUCGUGGAUCAGCAUGCCACGGUGAAUACGUUCCCGGGCCUU